ACAAAAAGAAACUAGCCGUUAGGCUUACAAAUUCAAAAAGUUUCCCGUUUUCUUUCAUUAAAGAGAAAGACAAACAAACCUCUUCUAAACAUACUCUCAAAAUAUACCUGCAAAAUCAGUCAAAGUAAUUCCCUCUCGUUUCUCUCUUCUAAACACUCCUCACCCCCUGUCUCUCUCUCUCUCUCUCUCUCUCUCUCUCUCUCUCUCUCUCAUUUUGUUUGACAAGCUUGCUGCAUAGAUCUGCAUUCUUCUUAUUAUCUUGAGAUUUCUGGGAGAAUUGUUUUUGUUUAUUGAAUUUGUUUCCUUAAAACGAAAGCUUAAAAUGGUUAUAAAUUGAAGGAAUCGUUGUGUUCCAUGAUCUUUUUCUUUAAGCUUUUUCUUUUGGUGCUGUUUUGUUAUAUUAGAGGCUGUUUCUUUCUUUUUCUUCUUUGAUUUUCUUGCAAUUGAAAUAGAUUAUGGUUGAUUGAUUUCUUUAUUUGAGACGAGUGGAUCGGUUGUAUUAUGAUAAUUAGACAAGAAAGGGGGCUUAAUCUGGAUACACUUAUUUAGUUUUUAUUAAUCUGAAAAUAUAUAUGUAUAACACUAAUUCCAUAGCCUCUCCAGCGAGAGGCACUAUCUGUUCUUUUUCUCGGAAGAUGAUAGUUAGAACACCUGGAACUCGAGCUUCUAAGAUCGAUAGGACGCCAGCAACAACUCCUGGAGUAGCAUGUUGAUAAUCACGCCAUUGUAUUUAACCCGCCAACCUCGGAAAAACACUGGCAGCGUCAGUUGAUGUCCUCCUAGUGAAGGAAUGGUGAAACUUAAAACAGACGGGGCGUGCAGUGGAAUUGGUCGUCGAGCUUCUGCAGGAGGUGUGCUUAGAGACUCCAGGGGUUCGUUUGGUUAAUGGGUUUCACGUAUCCCAUUGGUAGCUGUUCUCCCCUUCAUGCAGACGGGGCUAUGCAUAUUGAUUUUGGUCUUUGCUGGGACAGAAAUAUUUUGAGAUAGGUUUCACACCAAAAAAAAAAAAAAAAAAACUUGCAAGAAGUAUGGAAAAUGGUGAAAUCUGCUCUGAAAGAGUAAUUUUUAUUUUUCAGAUGAAUUAUAUGGAUUUGGGUUUACACCUUUUGGUGGUUAUUGACGGGUUAAUCUAGAAGUAAUGGCCGUGAUUGAGUCACUGCAACGUCAGACAGAAGAGACUGUGGAUUCUGUGGGAUGAUUCAGGCGAGGAAGAGGCAGAUGGAUCUGUAGAGAAUCCUUGUGUUACAGAAGCUGGAGAAGAUGAUUCUCACAACGUCUUGGAGAAUCCAAGUAAGUGUGAGCCUCAGGUUGCCAUCGAACAGAAGAAAGAGAAUGAAAUUUCUGCAGAGAAAGACUGGUUGUGGAAAUGUGCACUCUGAAGAAGAUAGCAAACUUGAGUCAGAAGUUGCUGAAGAUGGUGGUUUGAAUGUGCAACUCCCUGCAGCGAGGCUCUCUUGUAAAAGGAAGAAUCCUGACAGUGGGGUUGAGUCACUGGAACCAACUGCUACGGCAAAGAAGAGGAAUCGGGAGAGGUCAGGAAGCAACAGCUGAUGGCAACAAUUCACCAUCAAGUCCUCUCAAUGUGAGAUCAUCUGAUGAUGACUUUGAAUGAAUGGCAAUCAAAAUUCUGCAUGAUGAGAUGCAAUGGGACAUUAUCAAGAUUGGCAACUUGGUCCGCAAGAAGGAGAGUUUAGGCUGUCAUUUAUGGUGGCUAUUUUGUCACAAUAUUAUUCACCGGGGAAGACAAAAUAGAGACCACACGGCAACCACGUCACGUGGUAGCUAAAAUUAGAGACCACCAACUGUGGUAAACUAAAUACAUCUCUAAUUUUAUUUUAGAAUUAAUCUUGGCUAAUAUUUUAUUAU